CCCAAGAAUCAGAGUGGGCAACUAGCAGAGCUUAAUUUCCUGCCAGAAGAAGAAGACAUGCUUGCUCUAUGGUUCCAGGUUCCAUGAAGUGAUAUGUUACAAGACAUAUCGAUCUGCAACAGAAUCUGAGCAUUUUUUUUCCAGUCAGUGCUCAUGAAAAGGAAGUACAAAGAGUAAAGAGAGUUAAGGAAGAGAGCCUACCCAGUGUGGAAGCCAAUAGCAUAAAGCACAGCCUGGGAAAGAAGAUGACACAGGAGAGAAAGAAAGACUUAAUCAUAAUGAAAUGAUGCAACUCAUGAAUCCAACCAUGGCUGAAGACAUAAUUUUUCUGGAGGUUUCAUUGAUGAGCCAGUCUCAGGUGAGAAAAUGGAAUACCAGCUGUCACAGGACCAACUUGGAGUCAGAGAAUUGAAUACACAAAAAAGUGAGUAAUGAAUUGAAAGCCUUGCAUGCCCAUCUGCCAUUACAUCUAAGGGGUAUGCACUGCUCCCACUCCUUUGGUGCUCCUCUGGUCUUACCUUCUUCUGUUGAAAUUCCUCUUCCUUCUCUGCCUCUUGGCAGAUGGUGAAAAUCAAUACGAAAUAAUAGGUGGGAAAUGGCUGUGUUCCUUGGAGGAAUUUCUGAGAUAAGCAGGAGGCCAUGUAGUUAUUAUAUGACUAAUGAAUGCUGUUUUCCCUCACUGCACUCAAAUGUGGGCAGUAUUAUUGAACCUGGCCUUGGUCAACUGUGGUAUUGAUUUUCUUUUGUGAUUUCAGAUUCUCUUUUCAAGUAACCUUAACAAAAGACUUGAAAGAGGAAAACCAAUUCAAAUUAGACAAAGUGUGUACUGAACUUCAGGCCUAAAUUUUAAUUGGUAAUUUUUGAUAAAAUCUUAGGUUGACUUCUCUCAUAUAUUUAUGUAUUUAUAUAUGUUUAUUUUUAAUGCUUUUUGAUUACUCUUUUUACUAUAAAGUGCCCUUUAUCAAUAUCUAUAUGUAGCAAAUCAUCUUUCUUUUUUAACAACUUUUAUCCAGAUAUAAUUUAUAUACCAUAAAAUUCAUCUAUUUAAAGUGUAUACUUUGAUGUUUUGAGUAUUUAUAAAAGGUCAUACAGCCAUCACCAUAAUAUAAUUUUAGAAUAUUUGAUACCUUAAAAAGUAACCUUGUGCUCCUUAGCAGUUAUUCCUUAUCCCCCCACCAUACCCUCGGCAAACACUCAUCGACUUUCUGGCUCUACAGAUUUGCUUAUUCUGGAAAUUUCCUAUAAACGGAGUGACAUUUAUGUAGUCUUUUGUGUCUGGAUUCUUUUACAUAGCCUAUCAUAAGUCAGCUUUAUUAGGAUCUCAGCUUUUAAAUUGAUCAUGGCAAAACCCUGAAAUCAUGACUGAUUUUCCAUUCCAUUUGGGUCAUCAGCACUUUGAAUUGCUA